GGGAAAAGAUGAAACUGCUCUAGGCAAGGACCUGGAGGCAGGGCUGAGCAAAGGGGACAUAAGUAGUACAAUGAAGAGCAUGUCAGACCAGCCAUGUUCCAAGGAGGGGGGAAAAAAUCAUCACCUAAAAUGCUCUGUGAAUGCAGAGCAGGGACUCAACACUCCUGUAAGACCCAAGGGGUAGACAGGAGUUCAGGACACUGGCCUUGCCCUCAAGGAGCUGGAUGUAUGGAGGAGACAGACCCACCACUGUUCAUCUGUUAGUUCAGCCCAGUUUCAGAGUCUUCUCCACCACCUCCACUCCUCCACACAGACUGGUGUGGGAGUAAAGCUGAAGAAGCCUCGCUAAGGGCAACUGAGCCUUCACCUUGACCAGGCGGCUUGGCUCCUAUGCUACGGGCAGGACUGCGAGGGGUCUGUGGGGAAAGAGCCAGUAAGUCCUUUCUGGAAAAGCAGGUCUCUCAGCCACCAUAGGCACUAGCUUCAAGGAUCUCCUUGUUGUCACCUGAACACACCUUGCAACAUGAGAGUUCAUGGAUGCAGCACUUCCCUGCACUUUGUAUGCCUAAUGUGUGCAUUACCUCACUCAAACCUCAUGGCAACCCUGUGACAUGUGGGCUUUUAUUAUUCCCACUGGCCCUGGGCUCAGCAGAGAGGAAGUCUGCAAGGAAUGGUCCACAGGAUCCCAGGAAAGACCGAUGGGGCUCAAAGCUGGGGUGAUCAUAGGAAAGCAUGAGGCCUGGAACUGGCCAGUGACAGAAGGAAAGCCCAAGGAGCAAGCAAGAAGAGACUCCCAAGAGCAGGGGGAAUGAUGGUCUCCCAUCCCUGGAAAUACUUGACCUGAAGACAGCUGGUUGAAUCAUGGCAGGGAGUAGUGGCAAUUAUGGCCUGUUGAUGGAGCAGAUUCCAGAAGCAGGAAAAUAUGAACUUUGAGCAAAUGGGGAGGGAACACCAGGAAGCUUUAGAUGAAAGGACCAUCCAGCUGAAGAGAAAGCUCUUGAAUCACCUAGCAUAGACAAGGGAUGAGCUGGAAGAGCCUUCUGUCAAGGAUUGUCAAGGUUCUGGAGAAUUGGAGGUGGACUCAGCCUAGAUCUCAGUUGGUUGUGUUUGAUGCAGGGGAGAGUCCUGGACAGGAGACAGAUUCUGGUUGUAGCCUACCACCAGCCUACUUGGGUGUUAUGCAAGCUCCUUCCCCUCUCUGGGCUCAGUUUCCCUGUUCGCAAACUUGCAGUGACAGUGGAUUGGACCACUUGGCCUGGAAGGGACCUCCCAUCUUUGGCAUUUUGAGCAUCUUUGGGCCCAGGGCCCAGCUGGCCAGUGCCCCUCAGGCUUGGAGGUUGAAUGCUGCUCCCCUGAGACCCAGUUUCAGGUGGGAAGAGCCCAUGUGCCUAGUGUAGGGUCUGGGUGGGCCUGAAGUCUCCUAGAUGACCAAGUUCUUAGCCCUGAAUGAGCAAGGCCACCUUGGGCCUUGGAGACAUGGCCUGCAUGGACAUGAGUGGAAGCAAGUACUGGUACUGACCCUGUGGUUUUCCUUCUUCUAAUUCAAUCCAUCAGAGGCUAUUCUCAUAGGUCUGUGCCAAGUGCACCAGGGACUUACCAUUGGAGGAAUCCCAUAGGCUCCAAGGUGUGUAAAACAGACCCCCAGGUCAUCCUCAGGGUGGUCUGCAUAGCUCAUGGCUGAAGCAACCACUGUCUCCUUAUAGUGCUCCUUAGCUCCAGGCUGGUGGGAGGAAAACACCCCAGAAGUGUCCUACAGACUGCCAUAGAGGGAUGCCACAGCCUGGAAAAAUACCACAUUUCAGAGAAUCCCAGACUCACAGUUGGAGUGGGGGCCCCUUAGUCAUCCGUCUUGGGUGAUUGAGGCCUAGUACAGAGAAUGGAGUGGUCCAAGCAAUACGGCUGUUAUGUAAUAGAUGUGGACUUUGAACCAGGUGCCUGGCUCACAGUGUAGUAAUCUCUGUGUGCCUCUCAAAGGCUGGCUGCUGGGAUCAAGAUGCAGGGAAAGAGCCCAGGGCAAGAGGCCAUGUUCUGGGAACGUGUUCUGGGAACUAGUUCUGGGAACUGACUUGCUGUGUGACCUUGGCAAAUAGUGUCUCUCAGAAGGAUGUCUCAGUUUCCCCUUCUGUGCAUUAAAGGCUUGGCUCUGGCAAUGGAUACCCCUUGGAAGAGCUGUUCAGGAUUUCAGGGCUAACUGCUCCAGAGCAGGAACCUUUCUCCUUUGCCAGACUUGGUGCUCACAGCCAGGCUGGGUCAGGUCCACCUCUGAGUCCUCAGCCCUGGUCCAGAGUAGGGGCCCAGAGAUAUCUGGGAUCUGCACAGUACCUUGGGCAUAUAGAGUACUUCCCAGCUGUCUUCAGUGAGUUCUGGUCAAACACCGUUGUGGGUGCUACAAGAACAGUGCAGGCAUCAUCGAGAUUGGACAGGGGAGUCCAAAGAGCUGGAUCCACAUGGCUCUGGGGAGCCUGGCCAGAGCCUACAGGCCAUACAUCCAUCCAGAAACUAACUGGGGCUUGUAAACUGUCUGGAAAAGUUUUGCCCCAGAAAGUUCCAGAGAGCUGGUGAGCUGUAGAAAGCCUUCAAUGGAAGCAGACGUUUGCCAAGUAGCAAUCUGAUUGGUUGGCCAUAGAAUCAAUCCAUGGGAUCCCGAAGCUUGUCUGGAGUGGUCAACAAUCAAGAAAGCCCACCUACGUCUAGACUAUCCUGGGGAAGAAGAAGCAGUUGAUGCCAUGCUGGAAGAGGAGCUGUCUGGCGCUGCUGCUGGUACAGGGCAAGGGCCAGAGGCUGGCACAUGGUGCCAGCUAUUCUCAAGGUUAAGUAACACAGGAUUGACUCUGGCUAGAAUAGAAGUCUCCAUCAGUGGGCUCUGGCUCGUCGCUCUCCAGGAACAUGCCAUGUGACCCUGGUCAAGUCACUAGUCUUCCCUGGGCCUCAGUUUCCUUUUCAGUUUAACGAGUAGGCUGGAGAAACUGGUCAGGAGCCUUCCAGCUAAGAUCCUAAACCGACCCCAGGCUGAGCCCAAGGAGAAAAAGGCUAAGGCAGGAAGCUGGAGGGGGCGUGGGUCUCCAGGGACCCCGGGGUAGUGAAGUUCUCACCUGGUGUUUUCACUGUGGCCUUGUCCAGAGAGGAUCCCCAAACGCGCUAGGCCUGGCAUCUUGUGUCCUUCCAAGGCUCCUAUGGAAGAAGAGUCUCUCUCCCCUGUUGGACGAAGGAAGAGUGGCACGAGGGGCAAGGCCAGGACCUCCUUUCUCCAUGGUUGAAAUUUCCCUAAAGUGAGUGGAGGGCGCUAGAAUGGGGGUGGGGUAUGUGGCGCGAGGGGCUUCCCGGGCCCAGGACCCGCGCAGGGCUCGCGGCUGGGGGCGGGGGCAGCUCCCGGCCUCUAGCGGAGCCGCCACUCCGCCGGUUGCCUUUAAAAGGCGCCAGCGCGCACGCAUCAGCAGAAGGGCUGCGGCUCUCUUCCAAAAUAGGCAAGAAUUGGGAGGCCGCGGGAGACAAACUGCUACCAGCGCAGACGUCACCCGGGGCCUCCCUCCCCCCCACCCCCGCCUGCAUCACGUCUCCAUGGCAACGGCGUACCGCGGCCGCAGAUGAAUGAGCUAGAGCUAGGAGAGGACCAGCGCGCAAACGCUCGCUCUUUCAGCACCAGGCUACCCUUGGGGAAGGAGAUGCAGACCCGGCGCUAGGAGGAAGGGGGCGCCCUCAUAUUCAAAAAGACUCCAAAACCCAUUCAUUACCAAAAGAACCUUUUGUGUCCCGAAAAUCCGGAAGCUACGUGGUCCAGAGACCCUCGAUCCUUUGAUCCAGGGCUUCUCAGGCCUCAGGGUUCCCCUUUUGCCCCCCAUUUCCCCUCCCAUUCCUCAGGUCUCUGCUCCCCAAACUGCGGAAAAAUCAAACAUCAUUGUGGCUUAGCGCCACCGCGUGGCCAGUGGUGGCGCUGCGUCAGGCGUGCUCGUGACCGGGGUCCCGCCGUCUAUGUCGUCCUCUGGUGUUUGCUAGUGGGAAGAGCCUAAAAGAUCUCAACAGUCUUCUCAAAAAGGACUCUAAUUAACAAGGCAUCAUUGAAACAUUAGUAGGUAACGUUUAGUGACUGCUCUCGAUGUGUCUAAACUGCUAAGCGUUUCAUUUGAGUCUCACAUCAACUCUGCAAUUCAGAUGAUGAUGAUGGCAGGUGAAAAUAACAGACUGAGAGAAGACUCCACCUGCCUAAGAUCCCACAAGUGUAAGGGGCAGAACUGCCACCUGAACUUAUGACUGUGAAUAGCAACUGUGACCCCCUCACUUCCAAAUCCAUGGUCUCUAUCGAUCCACCCCAGAGUCUCUUGUGGUAAGCAAGACAACACUUAUUAAAAUAAUUCUCAUUUUACAGAUAAGGAGACUGACACCCAGAGAAGUGAAAUGUUUUGCCCCAAGUUUCAGCAGCUAUGGAUAGAGUCCAGGUCUCUAGGCCCCUAACCUAGGGAUUUUUAGGCAGAUAGAUAACAGGGAAUCCAGCACACCCCUUUGAGACUUUGCCCCUUAGUAACAGACUGAGAAGACAAUUCAUCCAGGGCUACUCCUCCAUUAGCAAAUGCUCACGGACAGGAGAAGAGCAGGGACAUUCCCUCACCUCCCAGAAUUUUAAGAGUUCUUAGGAGCUAGAUGCUGCUUAUCUGAUCCACAUACAUUUAAAAAUGUAAACUGUGAGAUACCUGGGUGGCUCAGCGGUUGAGUGUCUGCCUUUGGCUCAGGGCGUGAUCCGGAUCCCAGCUCCCUGCAUGGAGCCCGCUUCUCCCUCUGCCUGUGUCUCUGCCCCCCUCUCUCUCUCUUUGUGUCUCUCAUGAAUAAAUAAAUAAAUAAAAUCUUUUUAAAAA
rnacentral:lncRNA from 1 species